CAAAUCCUGGAGGGUGGGCAGGUUUGUACCUAUCCUUUCAGAUGAUCUAAUGGUGCGUUGCAGCUUGUUCAGUCUGCUCCUGCAUCAGAAUGGACAUUCAGUCUGUUUUUGUAGGAAGAAAAUCCUCUGCUGGAACUUUUUAGCAAUCCAGUCCAUACUGGCUCUCCAUUUUAGCUGAAUGCUACUAUGGAGGACUUCAGGUUCGUAUCUGAUCCCCCCACCAGAGAUAUUCAACACAAAAUUUAAGCAGAUCACUGCAAGGAAAUUGGGAGGCUGGACCAUAAUGAAAGAAACAGAAGUCAUUGGUUCUUGCAAACCGGACAGCUUCUCCCUCCUCAUCCUCCCAGCUAUGUGGGUAAUAUAGAUAUUAUUUCAGCCUCAGUCCCAUUUUCUCCUCAAUUAAAUUAUGAUGUCCUCGACCCAUCCUGGCUGGGUGAGAGAGAGGGGAAAAGAUAUGAUGUGAAAGCUUUAUUGAUGUCUACAAUUACUGGCUAGGCCCAGCUGUAGGCUCUACGUGAAAGAGGGUGGGAGGUUAGGGGCCUUAUCCGAGCCUCAGAGCGACCCAGGGCCAGCAGGGAGCACCAUCAUAACUUCCAUUGUCCGCCUCCUUUGAUGGAUGAGGGAGAGAGAGAUCUCCUGAGGAUUCAGUGCUACCAGUGCCCACUGCAAUACUGUGGUGUUGUGCCUCUCCCUCAUCCAUUAGGCUAGACAUAUGAAACUGCUAUAGUUUUUCCAAAGCAGUGGAAGACAGGGCAUAAAAUAUCUGUUGGGAAAGUGAGUGGAUAAUACUAUAAUACCACAUUUGUGUUUUACAGUAACAUCCAUUCCAUAAAAAAAAUGACAAAACCACAGGUGCAUGGUAUUAACCUCGAAAGUUGUUUGUACUUGUAGGGUUGUUUGUAGUUGAAGGGUGCCAUCUACCACCAUACAGUUUUCUAUGUAGAAUCUUACAACAGACGUAUUCAAGUAGAAACUAUUUAACAAAUUACGCAAUUUUAAAAAGUGCUGGAAAAGGUUGUUUUAGGGUGAUUUCAUUAAAAGGUUUCCUUAAGAACUUUUUAAUUGAAAUAUCUUUCAAUCUUUCCAUCAAUAAAGCUUUUUUGAUGCUGCCACAGAAAACUAAAAAUGUUAUCAUAAAAGCUACCAUUAUGUGGAAGGAUGCUUGUGGUGGAAAAUGGUUAUUCCAUUUAUUGUGGAAACAAAUUGGAUAAAAACAGUUACAGUUACAAAUGACUUGAUAGAAAUGUAAUCAGUAACAUAAUCCAAGUGUCACAAUAUGAAAGUAAUGUAAUCUGAUUAUUUUUGGAUUACUUCAAGGUCACAUAUGUAAAUAAAUUCAGGAGAAAAGUAACAUGAUCUGAAAUACUUUUAUUUAGAGAUUAUUUUAGAGCUUAAAAACACAUUCAGUGUUUGGAUUAGUUUUAAUAAAAUAAUUUGUUGCUCGUGUGAGUCACAACAAAUAAUUAUUUGCCUAGUGCUCAGUUCACCGAUAAAUAAAAGCUUAUAUUCCCGUGCAUGGGUGUCUUGUAAUUUUAUUUAAAAAAAGUACAUUAACACUUACUAGCACUUAGUAACACUUACAAUAGUAACUGACAUUUCAACACAGUGUUCUAAGGUCUCUAAAUGGAAACAAUGACUCCACACUGUUAGGCUGUGCCUUUGUUACACAACCUGGGCUAUGUGCUCUGAUAACUGAUCAGAUGAUGUGGAGGAGAGAGGAACCCUCUGUGGUUAGAACUUAGUCAGAAAGUCUCAGUUCCCCUGUUAGUUUAAAACUAAAUGCUGCAUAUGUGUGUAUGUAUAUUUUUAUUUCCAAAGGGCUCCCAAAGAGUUGUAAUAAAUCAAAUGUAAAACAUUACACUAUGUUUAUCACUGAAGCUAAAUUUAGUUUCAACUUAUGCUUAGGGCUGAGGUUUUUUAUUAUUAAGUAUUGGUUAGAGUUCAUAUUAGAGUUGUUAUGGUUAAGGUGAAGGCUAUGGUUAGUUUUAUGGGUUUAACUUUCAUGAAACAACAGUUGCACACAAAUAUAGGUCCCCACAGAAAUGGAUACUGUCUGAGUGUGUGUCUCAGCCACUGCUGCAAUAUUUUUGCUCUGAUGUUCUCUCCACCCAGCGAGAAGUACACUACUAGGUGUGGAGCAUAAUGAAGGGUCUUGUCGAGGCAUGGCAAGACAAGGCAAAAGAGCUCAGAGUGAAAGGGUGCGGCCUUAUUGGAGUUUUUAAAAGCUCACUUCUGCACCAUACUGGCGACGACUAAACUCAGAAAAAAUGGGCAAAGAAUGCUGUAGCUGUGUUGCUGCCCUAUGACGUAAUGCUCUAAUUGAAUUUCUCCCAGGAAAUUUCUGUCUCAAGUUGCCUGUGCAGACGUUCUGACCUUUAUGGUAUCAACCAGAAGUCACUUAUAUUGUAGUAUUAUUAAAGACAGAAGUUCAUGCAAACGGAUAUGACAUAGACAUUAGGGUUUGUCUUCCAGUCCUAUCACUAAGGAUAUUGCACAUGUGGAAUAGUAGACAUCAGAAAUUUUGGUUAGUGUAGAACAAAAUCAGGAUGAACACUCGACUUUGCAUGGUGCAGUCAGGUUGGUUCUAUUUUCUGUUCUCACCUGAUGCACCGUAUUUUUCAGCUGGUUAAACUCACUGCUGUUUGCUUACAGAAAAGGCCAUCAAUCACCACGGAAAGCACUACCUGUUCAUCAAUUAUGCAGCUGUGCCACAACAAAGGGGGUUUCAAAGAAAACCAAUUAAGGGCUUCUGUUUUAAACACUCAAUACAUUAUCUCAAUCUCUGCCACAAAUAAAGUGCCAAAUUAUACAUACCCAUAUGUCAUCACAAUACAUUUAUCAUCCUAAGUCUGAAGAUUGAAAUAAAGUCUGUUACUUUAUUAGAGACAUGCAACAGAAGCAAGUUCUUAUUUUUCAUGCUCAUAGAUUACAAUUGCCCUUUGUUGAAGCUUAAACUGUCUGAUGUUGUAGUCCUGUCUGAGUUUUUUUUUUUUACCCUAUUUUUUAGUACAAAUUUGUUAUAGAUUUUUUAAUUUUAUGACUUCUACAUUAUCAAGUCAGUACAAAAACAUUUUAGAUUACCAAACAUUAGUUUUCUAGCACAAAGUUAAAUGUUAUUAAAUGUUAGAGAAAAAUGUUGUAUGUCAUGAAAGAAGCGUAUUACAUAAGAGACACUUUUCAGACAAAAACCAUAAUGAAGGCUGCUGGGUUUUGCUGCAAAUAUAAGAAGCGAGUGUGACAGUCAAAAUCUCCAGAUGAACUGUGGCUGGGUCUGAAAGAUGCUCAAACCUACCAGCCAAUUUCUUUAUAAAACUGCACAAAUUGUACCAGAGACUACUAUUUUUAUUUUUUAUUUUUAAAAAUAAUUCUGAUAUAAACCUGAAGUUGGUGUAACCUAAACUGAUUUUUUUCUAUUCUUGUCCUUUAUUUUUAUUUUUAUUUUUUUAAUUAAAAAGAUAUGUGC